rnacentral:lncRNA from 1 species
UCAUUUUAAAAUAAGUAUAAUUGGUACGCUCUUCAGGGAUUGAACAGGAAAACAUGGUAUUGUUUUGCCACAGAGAGAGAGAGAGAGAGAGAGAGAGAGAGAUUGAUUACUGGAGGAAGGAAAAAAGGAAUGAAGGAAAAAAGGAAGAAGAAAGAGAGAGUAUAAAAACCAUUGCAAGAAAUUACAGCCUUGCAAGGCCUGUGAGCUCUGGAAGGGCAAAACCCCGCCUCUUUCUGCCUGACCACAAAUGAAUGAUCCCUUCUAGUGAUGCACGAUGAGCCUGGCCUGAGCUCAGAUCCAGGACUCUGCCACAUCCGGCAGUGAGUGUAUCCUGUUUCAAUUUCCUCACAUCAAAACAUGAAAAUGAUUUCCACAUCCAGAGCUACUGAAAAAAAUUAGAAAGAAUGCCUGUGACCUGCCUGGGACACACCAUAGCAAAUGAUGGGCACACAAUAAUUACUCACUAUUAAUAGAAACUUCAAUUUGUUUAAACUUCUAAAGCUCAUUGAAUUGGCAGAAAAAACAGCCUCUUUCUCUCUAGAGAACUUGUAGUUACACUUCUGCCAGAUUCACCAGUCUGUAACAUUUUGCCACAUUUGGUUUAUUGUCCUACAUACAUACAUACAGCUAAAUAUCCAUACACACAUGUAUCUUCAUAUACAUGCACCUAUGUAUGUGUGAAUUAUAAAUUCCAAAAUAUUGUUUUUCUGAGCCAUUUGAAAGUAGGUUACUUAUAUUCUACCCUUUUACUUAUUAAUAUUUUGGUGUGUAAUUCCUAGGAAUAAGAAUAUUCUCUUAAGUAGCCACACUACUGUUUCAUUGGGGCUUCCCUGAUAGCUCAGUUGGUAAAGAAUCUGCCUGCAAUGCAGGAGACCCUGGUUUGAUUCCUGGGUCAGGGAGAUCCACUGGAGAAGGGAUAUACUACCCACUCCAGUAUUCUUGGGCUUCUCUUGUGGCUCAGCUUGUAAAGAAUCCACCUGCAAUUCGGGACACCUGGGUUCAGUCCCUGGGUUGGGAAGAGCCCCUGGAGAAGGGAAAGGCUACCCACUCCAUUCUCUUCUGGCCUGGAGAAUUCUAUGGACUGUAUGGUCCAUGGGGUCACAAAGAGUUGGACACGACUGAGUGACUUUCACUUCACUUUCACUGUUCCAUUUAGGAAAUUUAACAUUAUUACAAUACUUUCAUUAAAUCUACCUUCCAAUAUCACAUAUUUGUGAAUUGUCCCAUGAUAUCCUUUAAGCCCUUUCUCUU